rnacentral:rRNA from 1 species
CAAUAGCGUAUAUUAAAGUUGUUGCGGUAAAAAAGCUCGUAGUUGGAUUUCUGUUGAGAGCGACCGGUCCAUACCAUGUAUGCGUAUCUGGCUUGCUCUCGGCAUCCUCUCGAUAGACGUUACUGCGCUUGAUUGCGUGGUGCGGAUCUCGGGACUUUUACUUUGAGGAAAUUAGAGUGUUCACGGCAGGCUUUCGCCAGAAUACAUUAGCAUGGAAUAAUACUAUAGGAUCUUGGUUCUAUUUUGUUGGUUUCUAGAAUUGAGAUAAUGAUUAAUAGGGACAAUUGGGGGCAUUCGUAUCAACACGUCAGAGGUGGAAUCCUUGGAUUGUGUUGCGACGAACUACUGCGAAAGCAUUUGCCAAGGAUGUUUUCAUUGA